CAAUAAGCGGAGGAAAAGAAACUAACAAGGAUUCCCCUAGUAACUGCGAGUGAAGCGGGAAAAGCUCAAAUUUAAAAUCUGGUGGUCUUUUGGCUGCCCGAGUUGUAAUCUAGAGAAGCGUUAUCCGCGCUGGACCGUGUACAAGUCUCCUGGAAUGGAGCAUCAUAGAGGGUGAGAAUCCCGUCUUUGACAUGGGCUUCCAGGGCUUUUGUGAUGCGCUCUCAAAGAGUCGAGUUGUUUGGGAAUGCAGCUCAAAAUGGGUGGUAAAUUCCAUCUAAAGCUAAAUAUUGGCGAGAGACCGAUAGCGAACAAGUACCGUGAGGGAAAGAUGAAAAGAACUUUGGAAAGAGAGUUAAACAGUACGUGAAAUUGCUGAAAGGGAAACGCUUGAAGUCAGUCGCGUCGUCCAGGGAUCAACCUUGCUUUUGCUUGGUGCACUUUCUGGUCUGACGGGUCAGCAUCAAUUUUGACUAUUGGAAAAAGAUCAAGGGAAUGUGGCAUCUUUGGAUGUGUUUAUAGCCCUUGGUCGCAUACAAUGGUUGGGAUUGAGGAACUCAGCACGCCGCAAGGCCGGGUGUCAAAACCACGUACGUGCUUAGGAUGCUGGCAAUAUGGCUUUAAUCGACCCGUCUUGAAACACGGACCAAGGAGUCUAACAUGCCUGCGAGUGUUUGGGUGGAAAACCCGAGCGCGUAAUGAAAGUGAAAGGUUGAGAUCCCUGUCGUGGGGAGCAUCGACGCCCGGACCAGACCUUUUGUGACGGUUCCGCGGUAGAGCAUGCAUGUUGGGACCCGAAAGAUGGUGAACUAUGCCUGAAUAGGGUGAAUCCAGAGGAAACUCUGGUGGAGGCUCGUAGCGAUUCUGACGUGCAAAUCGAUCGUCAAAUUUGGGUAUAGGGGCGAAAGACUAAU
rnacentral:rRNA from 1 species